CACGUAGGGCGCGAGCGUUGUCCGGAAUUAUUGGGCGUAAAGAGCUCGUAGGCGGCCUGUUGCGUCCGCUGUGAAAGCCCGGGGCUUAACCCCGGGUCGGCAGUGGAUACGGGCAGGCUAGAGGUAGGUAGGGGAGAAUGGAAUUCCCGGUGUAGCGGUGAAAUGCGCAGAUAUCGGGAGGAACACCGGUGGCGAAGGCGGUUCUCUGGGCCUUACCUGACGCUGAGGAGCGAGAGCAUGGGGAGCAAACAGG
rnacentral:rRNA from 1 species